GAUGAACGCUGGCGGCGUGCCUAAUACAUGCAAGUCGAGCGAACGGACGAGAAGCUUGCUUUUCUGAUGUUAGCGGCGGACGGGUGAGUAACACGUGGAUAACCUACCUAUAAGACUGGGAUAACUUCGGGAAACCGGAGCUAAUACCGGAUAAUAUAUUGAACCGCAUGGUUCAAUAGUGAAAGACGGUUUUGCUGUCACUUAUAGAUGGAUCCGCGCUGCAUUAGCUAGUUGGUAAGGUAACGGCUUACCAAGGCAACGAUGCAUAGCCGACCUGAGAGGGUGAUCGGCCACACUGGAACUGAGACACGGUCCAGACUCCUACGGGAGGCAGCAGUAGGGAAUCUUCCGCAAUGGGCGAAAGCCUGACGGAGCAACGCCGCGUGAGUGAUGAAGGUCUUCGGAUCGUAAAACUCUGUUAUUAGGGAAGAACAUAUGUGUAAGUAACUGUGCACGUCUUGACGGUACCUAAUCAGAAAGCCACGGCUAACUACGUG
rnacentral:rRNA from 1 species